UUUGCACUGUUGACCUCGGGUUUGACAAUUUCAAUGUUCUGGAUCUGGGUUCAAGUUUGAUAGACUAGGACCACAACUGCAUAAACUGUGAAGACUGAGCUUUUGAAAUGCAUUUGGUUUACUCUGGAGGACUGUAAGAUGUUGAACAUCAAAUAUCUAAGUUCCCAGCUGGUGCAGCUCUUCAUUUAUCUUUAUGAGCGGUGCACAGAUAUACCCUGAAGACUUCUGCAUCUUAGAGAUGGUAUUUUCAA